GGGCCCGCACAAGCGGUGGAGCAUGUGGUUUAAUUCGAUGAUACGCGAGGAACCUUACCAGGGUUUAAAUGCAGAACGACAGGGGUGGAAACACCCCCUUCUUCGGACGGACUGCAAGGUGCUGCAUGGUUGUCGUCAGCUCGUGCUGUGAAGUGUCGGGUUAAGUCCCAUAACGAGCGCAACCCCCAUUUCUAGUUGCCAGCGGUUCGGCCGGGGACUCUAGAGAAACUGCCAGCGUAAGCUGUGAGGAAGGUGGGGAUGACGUCAAAUCAUCACGGCCCUUACGUCCUGGGCUACACACGUGCUACAAUGGUAGGGACAGAGAGUUGCCAACCCGCGAGGGUGAGCUAAUCUUCAAACCCUAUCUCAGUUCGGAUUGGACUCUGCAACUCGAGUCCAUGAAGUUGGAAUCGCUAGUAAUCG
rnacentral:rRNA from 1 species